UCCAUGAUAAGUAAUCCAUCCAUCCAUUUUCCGAUCCGCUUUAUCCUCACAAGGGUCGCUGGGGGUGCUGGAGCAUAUCCCGGGCGUCUUCGGGCAGUAGACGGGGGACACCCGGUUGCCAGCCAAUUGCAGGGCACACAGAGAUGAACAACCAUCCGCGCUCACACUCACACCUAGGGACAAUUUUGCGUACUCAAUCGGUCUGCCAUCCAUGUUUGUGGAAUGUGGGAGGAAAUCAGAGUAUCCAGAGAUGAUAAGUAUUCAUUUGUCUUUUUUUCUGCACUGCGUGCAUUUUUUCACACAUAAGGUUAAAUCGUUCCAAAAGGUGUGGCUUGAACAAGCUAAAGUCCAGAAAAAAAUGAAAUGUUAGAUUUGGAUUUUAAACUGCAAUAAAACCCCAUAAUAUGUAAAAGUAAGUACACCGAAGUAAUAUUUUCUUCACUGCUUAAAAUUUAAGUAUUAAAUUAUGCAGUACAAACAUGGUUAAAUAUGAAACCAUUGUUGAAACUUAGUGAAUUACGUUAUGAUUACACUUUAAAAGGGCUUUGGUUCUGACAGGGUCUUCCCCCGAUUAUUGUAGGACACUGGAAGAUUUUUGACAUUGUAAUAUAUGGAGUGCUAUUAAAAAACAAAAAAAAAAAAAAA